rnacentral:lncRNA from 1 species
CUCAGACACGACAACCUGGACUUGACCCCUGGGGUUCUGGCUCCAACAAGUCUUCCUGGCCGCUUCGGGCAGCAGGAACCUCUGUCAGCACUGGUGAUUGAUGGCUUCAUGGGGGGAGAGGCCUACAGACAAGAAGUCUCACAAACACAGGGACAGGCAGAAAUAAAAUAGAACCCGAGAACCAGCAGCUUGCUGUGAGGAGAGCUGGGGAAGGGCUUUCUCAUGGUUUGUGGCCACAAAGAGUCAUUCCUCCUCAAGGGUCAUCCCCACCCUUCCACAAUCCAUGCUGUGCAUGAGGUGCUUUUCUCUUGCUCAAGCAUACAUUGGCUUUCAGGCUUUCCCAUCCUUUGUCUUAAUCACCAACAGCUGGAAACAAGGCAAACAACAGCACGUUUCUCUGUCAUAUUACGAAGGAACCUCCAGGUACAGGGAGUGCUACUGAAGACACAAUACAUGUCUGAGGCCACAUAUUCAAGACCAAACUCCCAGUCAUUCAGACGGUCAGUGGUGGUAUCUCCAACCAAAUACUGUGAUCAACCUGUGAUUAAGCCAUUUCCUUGUAAGAGACACACACCCUGCAGUCCAAAUAUUAGCCGUCUCCAUUUCAGGCAAUGCCACCAUUAGCCAACUCAUUCCCAGCAUUUCUAUCUGCUGUAUUUCACGACACUUUAACAUUGAAACUACCCAUUUGUAGGACUAGUCUUUCACUUGCAUAUCCAGCACAGAAGGCAAGCCCUGAAGGUCAGCAGUGAGCUCUGAGCACUGGAAUUGGACAACAGCAAACUGCAGGCCCAAGUCAAAGUCACAGCAAUGCUGUGUCACCGCUUGGGCUCCACGUGCCAGGACAAAGGCAGAGUGACACCAAGAUUGCUUUGAGGGGCUGCCAAACUCACGUUCCUCCUCUUCAAAGUUCGUCCACUCUCAUCUCACCACCAAAGCAGAAAUGGGGGCCACAUUGUGCAAAAUGUUUCCUUCAACCAGGCUGAAGGCGAAUGCUUUGGAAAUUCCAACUUUGUCCAAGGAAUAGGGGUUACUGUAAGACAGUGACUGCGUGCACUGCAAACCCCAUCCUUACUGCCUGUGCCCCUUGCUUCACCUGGUGCUUUGUGAUGGGUUAUGCUAACAUACAUGAAAUUUAAUUUCCGCUUAUUAACCCACAGGAGGCUAUUACUGUUUUCAAAGACAUUACAUUGCUUCCAAUUAGUGCUGCCCUUUGGUUUAUGGUAUGUUGUUUUUCUUGAAAACCUUUGAACCAGGUUGUACAUGAGCUGAAGGGCAUUCUGGGGCUGUUAAUAAAGAUUAACUCUUUUGAGCAAAUACAUGCUCCGAUUCAUUUGUGAGGAUUACGUUGUUGCAAAGAAAGGGGAUUUGAGAAAACGAUAGCAGACUCUUUGCUUUCCCUUCCAUUUUCUCAAUAUAUUUUUUUUUUAUGAUUUCCUUUAUCUGGUAAUCCUUCCUUCCAGCCUUGCCAAAGAUGCCCCUCUUUUAGUUUCCACAGCAGCACAGUCACAGAGAUGCCUCAAGAAGCAACAACUGCCCUGCUUCUUCCAGAGGGGGGCUUUGGGUGACUUCGUCCAACCUCUCUUGAAAACGUGUAAAGAAACAAGGAAUCUUGAGAUGCCAGGAGAAGGGAAAGGGGUACUGCUGUAACUCAGAAGCAUUUACAUACAGAUCUGUUUGACUGCCUUGUUCAAUCUUAACUCCCACUGCUCAUCUUUCUCCAUGCUACCAUGAAAUUUUAUCGCUCUAAGUUAGCUUUAGUCUUUCUGCUUGUCUGGUAUCAUUUACUCACCUCUUUACCUUCGCAUUACCAAUGCACAUUACAAAUACAAAGUCAAUUAUGUCCUCAGCAUAUGUAUUUGCUGCUCUGAUUGCCUUUUAGCUUAGUGUUAUUACAUUAUACUUCUAUCAUGGUGCCAAAGGCUGUAGUCUCCCAUGUUCUUUUCUUUUGGUGUGGUUUUGUGUUUUAAUUGUGCCUUUUUUUUUGGGGGGGAAGGGCUUUGAAGGCUGGGGAGGCAUGGCCUACACGGAUUUCACUACAAUUCAAGAGCACCCACACUUAGUCAACUCAAAUCCAAGAUGACAUCUACAUGCUAAGCGGAUGUGUGCCAAUAUAUACUUGGGUCAUACUCGUUCCCAGUGGAAGUGGACGCUUCAUUUUCUACCUGUUUGUAGGCUCUUGUUUAACCCACUGCCACAGGCUGGCACUUCUCCCAAAGCUGGUCCGUAAAGCAACAAACCUGCACUUAUCUGUUUUCAGUACGGCCAUAUAUCUGCAAGGACACACAGCCAGCAAUAUGGCUGCAACCUUGGUGGGUCUGCGGACAUUUAUUGUGAGAAGCAGCUGGGGAACAAUCAAAGUAAUUGCUCAGGGCCAGCGUACGUGUUUCUAAUGAGUCUCGUUGCAGAGGGACUUUUUCAGUGUCUGCAUUAUUUACACAGGACACCACUAUCAGUAAAAAGCCUUCUUAUCUCCCCUGUAUUUGUUUCUCUAUCUUUCAGUUUAGCAACUCUCAAAUUCUGUGCCUUUUUUUUUUUUAAUUUUUAUUUUUAUAGCCUGUUUCCUCUUUAGCGAUAUUAUCAUGGAGCCAAUAAAAGUGCUUUCCUUCUACAUCUGGUCAAGGAAAGAUUUUGCUGGGUACUCGAGUCAUAUUUCUGAAAAUGCCUCCGAGUGAAUAUAAAAAGCUGUUGGAAGCAAUUGAGUUUACUGUUGCCUUAUGUACUGUCAUUAAUUAGGAAAUAAAGCAAACGGC